UACGUAGGGGGCGAGCGUUGUCCGAAGUUACUGGGCGUAAAGCGCGCGUAGGCGGUCCCUUAAGUCUGGUGUGAAAGGUUCAGGGCUCAACCCGAAGAGGGCACUGGAUACUGGGGGACUUGAGUUUGGGAGAGGAGAGUGGAAUUCCUGGUGUAGCGGUGAAAUGCGUAGAUAUCAGGAGGAACACCGAUGGCGAAGGCAGCUCUCUGGCCCGGUACUGACGCUGAGGCGCGAAAGCUAGGGGAGCGAACGGG
rnacentral:rRNA from 1 species